rnacentral:rRNA from 1 species
CUACGGGUGGCAGCAGUGGGGAAUAUUGCACAAUGGGCGCAAGCCUGAUGCAGCCAUGCCGCGUGUAUGAAGAAGGCCUUCGGGUUGUAAAGUACUUUCAGCGGGGAGGAAGGGAGUAAAGUUAAUACCUUUGCUCAUUGACGUUACCCGCAGAAGAAGCACCGACGAACUCCGUGCCAGCAGCCGCGGUAAUACGGAGGGUGCAAGCGUUAAUCGGAAUUACUGGGCGUAAAGCGCACGCAGGCGGUUUGUUAAGUCAGAGGUGAAAUCCCCGGGCUCAACCGGGGAACUGCAUCUGAUACUGGCAAGCUUGAGUCUCGUAGAGGGGGGUAGAAUUCCAGGUGUAGCGGUGAAAUGCGUAGAGAUCGGGAGGAAUACCGGUGGCGAAGGCGGCCCCCUGGACGAAGACUGACGCUCAGGUGCGAAAGCGUGGGGAGCAAACAGGAUUAGAUACCCUUGUAGUC